GGAUAAGAUAUAGCAAGUCUUCAACGCUUUCUCUUGCAGAGACAGCCAGGAGGUUUGCCUAGAAGCAGCCACCCUUGAAAGAGUGCGUAAUAGCUCACUGAUCGAGCACUCUUGCGCUGAAGAUGAACGGGGCUAAGCGAUCUGCCGAA
rnacentral:ncRNA from 1 species